AUGUGGAUAUCUCACAGCUCACCUAAAUUGCAUUUCUCAAUUGUUCCUCAUUUAUUAUUUCCACUUCCAAUCUUCCACUCCAAUCUUGCCCAACUUUCGGUUUUGCAAUUGAACGUUUCACUCUCCUUAUUCUAUAUUCAAAAACUUUUUCAUCACCCAUUAAUCUUCUAUAGCAGUUUCAAAUGUGGUUCCUCCUUUCUCUCUUCCUUCGUUCUUCCUCUUCCUCACAGGACUCCAACUCUCUCUCCUUUUCUCUUUCUACUUCAUCUCUCUGCAUUCAUAUCUUUCUCUCGCUCAAAUUUCUUUUGUAUCUCCUCUCUGAACUUAAUUGCCUUUCCACCAAAACCGUGA